AGUCAAGUGAAUAAGUGCAUCAGGUGGAUGCCUUGGCGAUGAUAGGCGAAGAAGGACGUGUAAGCCUGCGAAAAGCACGGAGAAGCUGGCAAAAAAGCAAUGAUACCGUGAUGUCCGAAUGGGGAAACCCACUGCACUCGUGCAGUAUCCUAGUCUGAAUACAUAGGGCUAGAGAAGCGAACCUGGAGAACUGAACCAUCUAAGUACCCAGAGGAAAAGAAAUCAACCGAGAUUCCGCAAGUAGUGGCGAGCGAACGCGGAAAAGCCUGUAUAUGAUAAUGGUUAAGAUAGAAGAAGGGAUUGGAAACUUCCGCCAUAGUGGGUGAUAGCCCCGUAUUUGAAAUCUUAACCAUGGUACUAAGUAUACGAGAAGUAGGGCGGGACACGUGAAAUCCUGUCUGAAUAUGGGGGGACCAUCCUCCAAGGCUAAAUACUCAUCAUCGACCGAUAGUGAACCAGUACCGUGAGGGAAAGGCGAAAAGAACCCCGGAAGGGGAGUGAAAUAGAACCUGAAACCUGAUGCAUACAUACAGUGGGAGCAUCUUUGUGGUGUGACUGCGUACCUUUUGUAUAAUGGGUCAACGACUUACAUUCAGUAGCGAGCUUAACCGAGUAGGGGAGGCGUAGGGAAACCGAGUCUUAAUAGGGCGACUAGUUGCUGGGUGUAGACCCGAAACCGAGUGAUCUAUCCAUGGCCAGGAUGAAGGUGCGGUAAAACGCAUUGGAGGUCCGAACCCACGCAUGUUGCAAAAUGUGGGGAUGAGCUGUGGAUAGGGGUGAAAGGCUAAACAAACUCGGAGAUAGCUGGUUCUCCCCGAAAACUAUUUAGGUAGUGCCUCGAGUAUGAGACUGAUGGGGGUAAAGCACUGUUAUGGCUAGGGGGUUAUUGCAACUUACCAACCCAUGGCAAACUAAGAAUACCAUCAAGUUGCUCCUCGGGAGACAGACAUCGGGUGCUAACGUCCGGUGUCAAGAGGGAAACAACCCAGACCGCCAGCUAAGGUCCCAAAUGAUAGAUUAAGUGGUAAACGAAGUGGGAAGGCACAGACAGCCAGGAUGUUGGCUUAGAAGCAGCCAUCAUUUAAAGAAAGCGUAAUAGCUCACUGGUCGAGUCUUCCUGCGCGGAAGAUGUAACGGGGCUCAAAUCUAUAACCGAAGCUGCGGAUAUACUUUUGUAUAUGGUAGGGGAGCGUUCUGUAAGCCUGUGAAGGUGACUUGUAAAGGUUGCUGGAGGUAUCAGAAGUGCGAAUGUUGACAUGAGUAGCGAUAAAGCGGGUGAAAAGCCCGCUCGCCGAAAGCCCAAGGUUUCCUACGCAACGUUCAUCGGCGUAGGGUGAGUCGGCCCCUAAGGCGAGGCAGAAAUGCGUAGUCGAUGGGAAACAGGUUAAUAUUCCUGUACUUUGAUUCAAUGCGAUGUGGGGACGGAGAAGGUUAGGUUAGCAAACUGUUGGAAUAGUUUGUUUAAGCCAGUAGGUGGAAAGAGUAGGCAAAUCCGCUCUUUCUUAACACCGAGACGUGAUGACGAGUGUCUACGGACAUGAAGUGACCAAUACCACGCUUCCAGGAAAAGCCACUAAGCUUCAGUUGAAUCAGAACCGUACCGCAAACCGACACAGGUGGGCAGGAUGAGAAUUCUAAGGCGCUUGAGAGAACUCGGGAGAAGGAACUCGGCAAAUUGAUACCGUAACUUCGGGAGAAGGUAUGCCCUCUAAUGUUAAGGACUUGCUCCGUAAGCAUCUGAGGGUCGCAGAGAAUCGGUGGCUGCGACUGUUUAUUAAAAACACAGCACUCUGCUAACACGAAAGUGGACGUAUAGGGUGUGACGCCUGCCCGGUGCUGGAAGGUUAAUUGAAGAUGUGCAAGCAUCGGAUCGAAGCCCCAGUAAACGGCGGCCGUAACUAUAACGGUCCUAAGGUAGCGAAAUUCCUUGUCGGGUAAGUUCCGACCCGCACGAAUGGCGUAACGAUGGCCACACUGUCUCCUCCCGAGACUCAGCGAAGUUGAAAUGGUUGUGAAGAUGCAAUCUCCCCGCUGCUAGACGGAAAGACCCCGUGAACCUUUACUGUAGCUUUGCAUUGGACUUUGAAGUCACUUGUGUAGGAUAGGUGGGAGGCUUUGAAGCAGAGACGCCAGUCUCUGUGGAGC
rnacentral:rRNA from 1 species